GACAGAGGGUGCAAACGUUGUUCGGAAUUACUGGGCGUAAAGCGCGUGUAGGCGGCUAAGUAAGUCGGGCGUGAAAUCCCACGGCUCAACCGUGGAAGUGCACUCGAAACUGCAUAGCUAGAGUCCUGGAGAGGAAGUGGAAUGCUUGGUGUAGAGGUGAAAUUCGUAGAUAUCAAGCGGAACACCGGUGGCGAAGGCGGCCUCUGGACAGUGACUGACGCUGAGACGCGAAAGCGUGGGAG
rnacentral:rRNA from 1 species